rnacentral:rRNA from 1 species
CCUACGGGAGGCAGCAGUGAGGAAUAUUGGUCAAUGGACGAGAGUCUGAACCAGCCAAGCCGCGUGAAGGAUGACGGUCCUAGGUGUUGUAAACCUCUUUUAUAUGGGAAUAAGUAGUUGCACGCGUCGGAUAUUGAAUGUACCAUAUGAAAAAGGAUCGGCUAACUCCGUGCCAGCAGCCGCGGUAAUACGGAGGAUGCGAGCGUUAUUCGGGUUUAUUUGGGUUAAAGGGUGCGUAGGUGGAUUGUUAAGUUAGUUGUGAAAAGUUGCGGCGCAACCCCAGAACUGCAGUUGAAACUGGCAGUCUGGAGUGCGGGAGAGGUGGGCGGAAUGCGUGGUGUAGCGGUGAAAUGCGUAGAGAUCACGCAGAACUCCGAUUGCGAAGGC